AGAACAACAGGGAUUGCCCCAGUAACGGCGAGUGAAGCGGCAACAGCUCAAAUUUGAAAUCUGGCCUCGGCCCGAGUUGUAAUUUGCAGAGGAUGCUUCGGGCGCGGUGCCUUCCGAGUUCCCUGGAACGGGACGCCAUAGAGGGUGAGAGCCCCGUAUGGUUGGACGCCUAGCCUGUGUGAAGCUCCUUCGACGAGUCGAGUAGUUUGGGAAUGCUGCUCAAAAUGGGAGGUAUAUCUCUUCUAAAGCUAAAUACCGGCCAGAGACCGAUAGCGCACAAGUAGAGUGAUCGAAAGAUGAAAAGCACCUUGAAAAGGGGGUUAAACAGCACGUGAAAUUGUUGAAAGGGAAGGGCCCAUGACCAGACUUGUGUCCGGCGGAUCACCCAGCGUUCUCGCUGGGGCACUCCGCCGGGUCCAGGCCAGCAUCGGUUCUCGCCGGGGGAUAAAGGCUCUGGGAACGUAGCUCCUCCGGGAGUGUUAUAGCCCUCUGCGUAAUACCCUGGCGGGGACCGAGGUACGCGCUCCGCAAGGAUGCUGGCGUAAUGGUCAUCAGCCACCCGUCUUGAAACACGGAUCAAGGAGUCGUCCAUUAGAGCGAGCGUUUGGGUGUCAAACCCGCACGCGUAAUGAAAGUGAACGUAGGUGAGAGCUUCGGCGCAUCAUCGACCGAUCCUGAUGUCCUCGGAUGGAUUUGAGUAUGAGUUUUACUGGACGGACCCGAAAGAUGGUGAACUAUGCCUGUAUAGGGUGAAGCCAGAGGAAACUCUGGUGGAGGCUCGCAGCGGUUCUGACGUGCAAAUCGAUCGUCAAAUAUGGGCAUGGGGGCGAAAGACUAAUCGAACCAUCU
rnacentral:rRNA from 1 species